UACGUAGGGUGCAAGCGUUAAUCGGAAUUACUGGGCGUAAAGCGUGCGCAGGCGGUGAUGUAAGACAGUUGUGAAAUCCCCGGGCUCAACCUGGGAACUGCAUCUGUGACUGCAUCGCUGGAGUGCGGCAGAGGGGGAUGGAAUUCCGCGUGUAGCAGUGAAAUGCGUAGAUAUGCGGAGGAACACCGAUGGCGAAGGCAAUCCCCUGGGCCUGCACUGACGCUCAUGCACGAAAGCGUGGGUAGCAAACAGG
rnacentral:rRNA from 1 species